AACGAACGCUGGCGGCAUGCCUAACACAUGCAAGUCGAACGAGAUCUUCGGGUCUAGUGGCGCACGGGUGCGUAACGCGUGGGAAUCUGCCCUUUGGUUCGGAAUAACAGUUGGAAACGACUGCUAAUCCCGGAUGAUGACGAAAGUCCAAAGAUUUAUCGCCAGAGGAUGAGCCCGCGUAGGAUUAGCUAGUUGGUGUGGUAAAGGCGCACCAAGGCGACGAUCCUUAGCUGGUCUGAGAGGAUGAUCAGCCACACUGGGACUGAGACACGGCCCAGGCUCCUACGGGAGGCAGCAGUGGGGAAUAUUGGACAAUGGGCGAAAGCCUGAUCCAGCAAUGCCGCGUGAGUGAUGAAGGCCUGAGGGUUGUAAAGCUCUUUUACCCGGGAUGAUAAUGACAGUACCGGGAGAAUGAGCUCCGGCUAACUCCGUGCCAGCCGCCGCCGUAA
rnacentral:rRNA from 1 species